rnacentral:hammerhead_ribozyme from 1 species
GUACUGCUGAAGAGUCUCAAGCCAGGACGAAACAGCUGUUCAGUAC